rnacentral:rRNA from 1 species
UGCAGUCGACGCUUUUUCUUUCACCGGAGCUUGCUCCACCGAAAGAAAAGAGUGGCGAAUCGGGUGAGUAACACGUGGGUAACCUGCCCAUCAGAAGGGGAUAACACUUGGAAACAGGUGCUAAUACCGUAUAACACUAUUUUCCGCAUGGGAAGAAAGUUGAAAGGCGCUUUUGCGUCACUGAUGGAUGGACCCGCGGUGCAUUAGCUAGUUGGUGAGGUAACGGCUCACCAAGGCAACGAUGCAUAGCCGACCUGAGAGGGUGAUCGGCCACACUGGGACUGAGACACGGCCCAGACUCCUACGGGAGGCAGCAGUAGGGAAUCUUCGGCAAUGGACGAAAGUCUGACCGAGCAACGCCGCGUGAGUGAAGAAGGUUUUCGGAUCGUAAAACUCUGUUGUUAGAGAAGAACAAGGAUGAGAGUAAAAUGUUCAUCCCUUGACGGUAUCUAACCAGAAAGCCACGGCUAACUACGUGCCAGCAGCCGCGGUAAUACGUAGGUGGCAAGCGUUGUCCGGAUUUAUUGGGCGUAAAGCGAGCGCAGGCGGUUUCUUAAGUCUGAUGUGAAAGCCCCCGGCUCAACCGGGGAGGGUCAUUGGAAACUGGGAGACUUGAGUGCAGAAGAGGAGAGUGGAAUUCCAUGUGUAGCGGUGAAAUGCGUAGAUAUAUGGAGGAACACCAGUGGCGAAGGCGGCUCUCUGGUCUGUAACUGACGCUGAGGCUCG